UGACGACGUAGUGUUGUUGUUUCCGGGUCUCAGAGGAGCCCAGCUUAGGCAGCGUGUAGGUGUGUCAGAGCAGUGUGGUGAAGUGGGUGGUGCCCUGUCUCCAUGUUUUUGUCAGUGUGGGACCUGUGCUGACUGACUGAUGUUAUUGGUGUGUUGUGUCAAGAGAUGGUGCGGCAAUGUUCCAAGCAAAAACCGAGUCACCUUAUUGGUCGACAAGAGAUCACCAUCAGCCCUCCCUUUGGCCCAGAGCUUCAUUGAUUGUGAUUGAACAGCUGGCUUUGUGGGUGACCUGACCUGAUCUCAACCAAGCCAACACGAUUUACGUUUUCCUCGUUGACAUUGGCACCAUGAUGACCUCUGACAUGAACCUGGCACUAGAGAGUGUUGAGGUACUGAAGGGCGCAAUACACAAUGCUGUCAAGGUGCCCCAAAACACACAGGCACAGGUGCAGGGGUGCCUCAACAUGCCAGCCACCUACAACACUGUGGUGGCAAGGACACAGUUAGCACAUCAGUUUUACGAGCACGUCAGUGAGGUAGCCAGAAUGUGUUGCCAACUUGUUCAUGACCAGCACCUGCAGCAGCAAGGUCAGGUUAAGUUAGUUAAGUUUUUCAUAUGUGAAUGUUGUGACUGUCAAAAUGGAGGUCACAAGGGUUUUCUGAGGGUCACAGGGGUUCUGAAUGUGACGGGGAAAGAGGAAGAAGGAGAGGAAAGGUGGAGAAGAAAGGUAGAGAGGAAGAAAGAGGGAAAGAUGAAGAAGAGAAGAGGGAACAAAGAGGAAGAGGAGAUAAUUGUUAAGAAUUUGUCUCUCUUCUUCUCUUCCUCUUUCUUUCCUCAUUUCUCAUUUCGUUGACUGUUGUGUUUAAUUUGCUGUAGUCUGCACUCCUCCCUCCACUACUACUACUACUACUACUACUACUACUACUACUACUACUACUACUACUACUACUACUACUACUACUACUACUACUACUACUACUACUACUACUACUACCUGCUGGGCAGCAGUGGUGGCCAGCUUGGAAGACAUUGUGGCAGCCUUCUGAGCAAGACAUGAUGCAUUCCAGCAAAACUUUGUGGAGUAUCUCAGUGGCCGGGAGGAGAAGGUUGCCCUGCUUCAGUUUUGUGUGUGACUCUCCACUCUUCCUGGCAACUCACCAAUGGGGAGAGGAGGAGGAGGAGGAGGAGGAGAAGAGAGAAGAGAGGAGGAAAGAGAUAGAAAAAUGAUUGGAGUGUAUGAGUGUGUGUCUGUCUGUCACUACUACUACUACUACUACUGCUACUACUAGUUUUGAAGAGGACCUGAAGCUACUGGCAAGGAUUCCAGUCUUCCCUGAAUUCUUUUUGGGGAAGACACAAGAGGAAGAGGAAGAGGAGGAAGCUGGGAAGAAGAGGACAAGCACAGCACAGAAGAAAAGGAGGAAGAGCAGGAGGAUGAGAAGAGGGCAGGAGGAGGAGGAGGAGGAAAAAGAGAAAUGAGGCAAGUGUCACUGCUGGACUGGAUCAGCACCAAGGACAGCCAAAGUGACGUCAGACAGAUUGCCCAACUCUGCUGCAGGGGACUGGCCCAGAUCAACAAGGGGCUGCUGAAACUAGUGGGGCAAGAGGUCAGCGCUGUGCUUCGAGAGGCAGACCAGCCACAGAUGAAGGGGCUCAGUGAGCACCUGUGUGGCCUGGAGCAGCUCAUGCAUGAUGCCGCCUACAUGGUGCAGGAGCAGAGCAAUUUCUCACAGGUCAGCUGGUCGUCCACCGUGACUCCGAGGAGCUUGGCACAUCGGACUACCUGGAGGGGGUGAGGGCCCACUGAGAGCUGGGGAGGGGGCACUGGUACAGAGGAGGUACAGAAAUGCAUCACCACAGUUUUGUUGUGGUUGAUGGUCAUCCUGCUCUCCUCCGUCCACGUCUGCAGUCGCUCCAGGAUCACUUGCAGUGGCGAGUAGUCCAGGUUCUUGGUGGAAACUGGGACGCCCAUGGUGCAGUCGUCCACAUACUUCCAGCGAUUGGGGGUGUCAGUGAGGGCGUCGUUAAUGAGGAGGAGGAAGCAUAGAGGACCCAUCUUGGUCCCCUGGGGGACCCCAUAAGUCAGCUGUUGGAAAGUAGAGACAGAGCCCUGAUAGCGAACGGCCUGACGCCUCCCUGUGAGGAAGUCGGCUAGCCACGCUAUCAGGUUAGGAGGGAGACCCAGACUCACUGCUUUGCUGAUGACAACAGUGUGAUCAACAAGAUCAAAAGCCUUUUUGAAGUCCACAAAAGCAACAGCUAGAGAGGUGUUUCGCUUGUCCAGGUGGCUGUGGAUGAAUUCAAGGAAGCUGGUCAGAAGGCCAACUUUUGCCCAAGAGCGAUGCCCCCAGAGGCCCACAGACCAGCAUUCCACAAGUCUCUCCCAAGACGCCACCUGCCAUCUGAAGAUGCACAACGUGGCUUUGCAGCACACCACACCACAGGCUGGUGAAUCCCGUGCACCACUUGAUAGGGAAUGGUGUGUCUGUUGGCAGUGAGUGGUGAGACUAGUGUUGGUCUUGUUGUACUUGGUAGUCAGCAUGUUCACUGGGUUCAAACUGUACCUCAUGUAUCCAUGUUUGACAAGACCACUCUUCUCACAUUCAAAUAAUAAUAGUAGAUUUGUGUUAGAGAUCCCAGUGAAAAUGUGAAAAUAUUUGAAAUACUUAGUGUCACUUACUUAAUGAGAAGACUUGAAUUGCUGUUGCAUCUUUGCUCAGCAGUGAGGCGGCUGGAGUUGUGAAGCAAGUGUGGCAGAUAGCCCUGCGCUGCCGGCGCAGAGAUGUGUUGUUGACACAUCUCUGUACAGGCCCACAAUUAUUAUUUGACAUCAGAUAAUGCAACAUUUAUUCAUUGAUUUAGUUUUUGGC